UACAGAGGUCUCGAGCGUUGUUCGGAUUCAUUGGGCGUAAAGGGUGCGUAGGUGGCGCUGUAAGUCGGGUGUGAAAUCCUGAGGCUUAACCUCGGAACUGCAUUCGAUACUGCGGCGCUUGAGGACUGGAGAGGAGACUGGAGUUCAUGGUGUAGCAGUGAAAUGCGUAGAGAUCAUGAGGAAGACCAGUGGCGAAGGCGGGUCUCUGGACAGUUCCUGACGCUGAGACGCGAAAGCGUGGGGAGCAAACAGG
rnacentral:rRNA from 1 species